rnacentral:lncRNA from 8 species
AUGGGUCGUUCUGAUUGGAACAAGGUUUUACUUAGGGCAUUGUGUAUGUCCUUCUACAGAGCACCCAUGGCAAAGGGCUGUUCUCUCUGUCUGCUACUGCUCUGCUACUACUCUGCUACUGCUCUGUUACUGCUCUGUUACUGCUCUGCUACCGUUCUGCUACCGCUCUGUUACUGCUCUGUUACUGCUCUGCUACCACUCUGCUACCGCUCUGUUACCGCUCUGUUACUGCUCUGUUACUGCUCUGUUACUGCUCUGUUACUGCUCUGUUACUGCUCUGUUACUGCUCUGCUACUGCUCUGUUACCGCUCUGCUACCGCUCUGUUACUGCUCUGCUACUGCUCUGCUACUGCUCUGCUACUGCUCUGUUACUGCUCUGUUACUGCUCUGUUACGGCUCUGCUACUGCACUGCUCUGUUACUGCUCUGUUACUGCUCUGCUACUGCUCUGCUACUGCUCUGUUACUGCACUGCUACUGCUCUGUUACUGCUCUGUUACUGCUCUGUUACCGCUCUGUUACCGCUCUGUUACCGCUCUGUUACCGCUCUGUUACCGCUCUGUUACUGCUCUGUUAGUGCUCUGCUACUGCUCUGUUACUGCUCUGUUACUGCUCUGUUACUGCUCUGUUACUGCACUGUUACCGCUCUGUUACCGCUCUGUUACCGCUCUGUUACCGCUCUGUUACUGCUCUGUUACCGCUCUGUUACCGCUCUGUUACCGCUCUGUUACUGCUCUGUUACUGCUCUGUUACCGCUCUGUUACUGCUCUGUUACUGCUCUGUUACUGCUCUGUUACUGCUCUGUUACCGCUCUGUUACUGCUCUGUUACUGCUCUGCUACUGCUCUGUUACCGCUCUGUUACUGCUCUGUUACCGCUCUGUUACUGCUCUGUUACCGCUCUGUUACUGCUCUGCCUGGUGCUUGGUAUUAUGCCCCCCCCUGCCUGCCCACGGAUACUUUCAGGCCAACGUAUCACUUUAGGUCUUGUUUUGUUUGGAUUACAAAGGUAUUGAGUUUAUUUAAUGAAUCUGAACAAACGUUCAGUUUAAGAUUAAUUGGCAAAAAAGCAGUAAAAAGAGAUGGCUGUAUAGAAAAGUCAGAGAUUGAAAGAGAGGGCCAAUACAUUGAUGGCACGUUUAGACUUUUGUAA